GAAUAUCUCCGUGUCUUCUUGAACAAAGCAGCAUGCAUGUCGUUUAUCAUUGCCAGAAGUUAACGUUGGCCGAUCUCCCGAAGAAGAUACACACGAGAAAAAGAAGGAAAGCCACCGAGCCGGCCGGCGUCGUAAACGUCAAACCGACGUUUGGCGGAUCAGUGAGCGUCGCGACGCCCGCGGCGCAGGUUGCACCGCCUCUUCUUCUUGCGGCUCGCCGAUAGUACAUACCGGUGCGUCGGAUAGGACGUCGUUGCGCGGCACCACCGGUGAUACCGCGUGUCUGGUACAUACCGGCCGUUCGAUAUCUUCUCUGGGGCACCAACUCACCAAGACUUAGAAAUAAUUAUUAUGGGAUGUUUAAGCGGCGGCUAAAUGGGGGCCGAUGGACAUUUUCGUGUGACUUUGUCCCUCAAGAAGGAACCAGGUGCCGGUCCAGUCUUUUGCAAGAUGGAGACAUCUGCCAGGUUCCGGCAGCUGAAGACGGUGAAGCUGAGCUGCGACACGACCUACCGACUCGAUAUUAGCUUCAAGCCGCCGCAAUUGUUGCAGUUCCUGAGUAUCGGUGGCAAACAAGUGGAGACGGUUGAACGAGCAAGGAACACAGCGGCGUGUGCUUACAGCGCUUAUCACAGCACUAAAGAUAUCCCAGCGAGUGUACGUGGUCAUCGGGAGGAUCUGCCGAUCGCCAUGAGAGUCCUCGGUUCCGGCUACUUGACCACUUGUCUGCAAAUCAAAUACUACCGAUUGGAUGAUCAGAGCCACUGCGAGUGGGGUGCUAGAUUGCACUGCAUCGAGCUUGAUUGUUCUAGCGUCGAGGGACGUCUCGUCACGGUGGAUCGGGAGACGUACAGAAAGCUCGGCAUAGAAUCUUAACGAAACGUCAUCAGCUUCACCGGUAUCGGCUCGUUGCCAGCUCAUUACAGCGAGGAACCGACGCCGCACCGCGUAGUGCCACAAUCGAUGCCUCUCGCACGCGAUCGGCUGAAUACUUUACGCUCGUAAAUGGGAUUGCUGCAGGAAUUAAUACGAUAGGAAAAUGAACUCUAACACAUUAAUAAUAGAUAUUUACAUAUCGACAUAUGUAUAUAUACGUACUACGUAUCGAACAUACACGCGUCAUUGAUUUCUGAUUAAUACUUAAUUGUGAAUACGAAUCAAUCGCGAGGCAAUAUGCCGUGGUAAGGAAGAGAACGGCGUUUUUUUAUAAUUGAAAGCAUCGACAGAAGUCCUACUCGUGUCAGUGGUGCGACGUCAGCUUUCGUGAAACUUUGCGAUCGAAGUGUACGAUGCACUUUUACGCGUAUUCUUCGCUUCGAUGUUAUUUUUUAUUUACGAUAAUUCUUGCUUAUUUUUCUUUUUUAUCUUUGCACUUCUCGAAAGAUAAAAUUAUUAUAAAACUCGUCUCUGUCUUGAUAUAUGCGUUAUUGUGUACGUUAAUUUUAAAAGCGUCCUCAGAGCGCUACAAUAGGAGCUUGAAGUAUCUUAAUACUCGAAAACUUUGGCAAUCAGCGAAGUGACCAAUUAACGCCUUUACGCUUACUGUAAUUAUGCAAGUCGUUUCUACUUUCUCUACUCGUUUAAUGGAUUAACAAAGUUAUCUUUACAAGUUGUAUAAGUGUAUUGCAUGUACAGGGUGAUUCUCGAUUAUAUGUUAAAACUUCAGAGAUAUAUUUAGAACAAGGAAAAAAUGUCAUCUAUGAGACACGGAUUAAAUAUUAUUUUCAAAGUUUGUAUCGGCUUGAAACGUGUGCAUGUAUAUAUUCAUACACACGCGCGUAUUUUUGUCGUACUGCGAUGAGUCUUACUCAUUCUAAUGUAGGCGGCGAAAAGGAAUUUACAAUAAAUUAAGUUUCCGAUGCAAUGUUCGGAAUUUUCUGCGAUUUCUUGUCCUAUGGCGCUUAAAAUCAAAUUUUUCGCAUAAUACGUAUCGAUUGAUCAGAGGCGUCCUACAUUUUUAGUUACGUCUUUACAUAACGCCUCUGAUUAAUUAUACGAAAAAUUGGUGCCAUGGAAUGGCAUUCUUAGUUCAAAAUCCAUUUGUGUAUAAUUAAAGAUCACUCUGGUAUGAAAUCUCUCUAAAAGAAAUAUAUAUACAUUAUUUACAUACAAUAAAUAUAAAAAAUCACAUGUC